rnacentral:sRNA from 1 species
AGAGCUCCUGCUCCUGCUGGAGCAAUUGCCUUGAAGAAUGACAUUGCUGUCAUAGAUAUGCCAUUUGCAGCACCUCUUUGACUUUGUGACUAUUGUUUGGAAUGAACUGAAAUAUUUGAAACUUACUGAUAAAACACCCUUUAAAAUGGUUCCAAGGUAAAGAGCUAUUCCAAGUCUAAGCCCUGACAAGUGUGUCAUAAAGGGAUAAGCAGCAAGAAUUGGUAUGGAUAAAGCCUGUAAUAUACACACAAAAUUUUGCUACAUACGAUUUAUGAGAGGUGGAAAUGAUGGUCAUAAUAAGUUGCUCCACAACAGUUAAUGGAGUACCUGCAACUGCAAGAACUUGACCAACUUCUUUAGACGAAAAACUUAAUCCACCAUAUCUUUUGUCACUUACAGCCCAUAAGGAAAAUAUCUCACUAUAUGCUGUAUCAUGAAGGGUGAAAACACAGUAUGCAAUAAUAGAGGAUAUCAAUGGCCAGUUCUUGUAGAGGCUCUUCUGUUUAUGUGAAUCUUCUUCAAGUGUACUUCUUGAGUUGUCAAUCAUUUCAAUUUCACCUUCAGUAUUUUUAUGCUUAUGAAGUGUCUCCUGAAAAUACAUUUGGAUAUUGCUUAGCAGGCUGAGAGAAAUGAGAGACAAAGUAAGUUAUAAUACUGUUGUAAUAUUCUGUGAAAAAAAUGGUUACAAUUUAUAACAAAACAACUACCUGUGCAAAGUAGCCUCCAAUGGCUGGACCCACAACAAGCCCUAUGCCCCAACCAGUGCUUACCUAUAUAUAAGUAUUGAAGUGCAUUAGAGAUACAAUUAUCUGAAUUUUGUACUUGUGAUGAGAUGAGUAUAAAUUUAUUUACUAUUGAUAAUCCUAGAGCCUGAUGUUCAGGUCGACAAACUUCAAUGGAAUAAGCCUGCAAUAAAUCAAACAAUAAGCAUACAUAUAUAUUUGUUCACAUGAAUGACAGAAUAAAUUCAUUUGAUUUAUGAUUAUGCUUUGUAGCAUACCUUUAUUGGGGCCAGCAUGCCAUUUAGAGCACCAAGAAGGAAUCUUGUGGCAAUUGCCAUCCAAUACUUUACACUUAAUCCGAACAGAGUACAAUAAAUACUCACACUGAUAAAAUAGAAAAUUCAAUGAUAGGUUUCCUCCCUAUACGAUCUGCAACUACACCCCAAAAGAGUGAGGCAAACAUCUACCGAUCAUAUAUGAUGCACCUACAAAACAUAAAUAUUGUCACAUUCUACUUCUGCAUGAGCAUAUAAUUUUUAUGAAAUAGGAAAGAGAAGGAACUUGAAGAACAUACAAGAGGCAAUGGUGGUGAUCCCAACAAAGAAGAACUCCUUGUAGGGGAUGCCUUGGCUGCUCUCCAGCUUCCGUUCCAUGGCGCAGCCGGGGCAGCCAUCAUAGAACACC